UACAGAGGGCUCAAGCGUUGUCCGGAAUCAUUGGGCGUAAAGCGCGCGUAGGCGGCCCGGUAAGUCCGCUGUAAAAGUCCAGGGCUCAACCCUGGAAAGCCGGUGGAUACUGUCGGGCUAGAGUCCGGAAGAGGCGAGUGGAAUUCCUGGUGUAGCGGUGGAAUGCGCAGAUAUCAGGAAGAACACCCGUGGCGAAGGCGGCUCUCUGGGACGGUACUGACGCUGAGACGCGAAAGCGUGGGGAGCGAACAGG
rnacentral:rRNA from 1 species